rnacentral:misc_RNA from 2 species
AACGCACAUUGCGCCCGCUAGUAUUCUGGCGGGCAUGCCUGUCCGAGCGUCAUUUCAACCCUCAAGCCCCUCCGGGGGCCUGGCGUUGGGGAUCGGCCCCGCUCCGGCGGCCGGCCCCGAAAUGUAGUGGCGGUCUCGCCGCUGCCUCCUCUGCGUAGUAGAAACACCUCGCAUUGGGACGCGGCGGGCCCACGCCGUUAACCAGAUGAAUUUUUUCAAGGUUGACCUCGGAUCAGGUAGGAAUACCCGCUGAACUUAA